rnacentral:rRNA from 1 species
UACGUAGGGUCCGAGCGUUAAUCGGAAUUACUGGGCGUAAAGCGUGCGCAGGCGGUCUCGCAAGUCCGAUGUGAAAUCCCCGGGCUUAACCUGGGAACUGCGUUGGAAACUAUGAGGCUCGAGUGCGGCAGAGGGGGGUGGAAUUCCACGUGUAGCAGUGAAAUGCGUAGAGAUGUGGAGGAACACCGAUGGCGAAGGCAGCCCCCUGGGCCAGCACUGACGCUCAUGCACAAAAGCGUGGGGAGCAAACAGG